GUCGUGAGUUUCAUCUUGCUCUAGUUCUUGUCUCUAGUUCAUCUCUCUCGAACACUCUGGGGUGAUGCUUGUCGUGGUGCCUUUAUGUGUGCCGCCUUACAACUCAUUUGAGCUCCGUAUUUCUCGAUGUUGGUUUGACAAAGGGUAGGCGGCACAGCUCUAGUUUUCUUGAAGCAUCAUUUGGUUUAAGUAAAGAAUCAACUCCAGAUAGGGUUUCUGCUGUAAUGGGCUUGAAUUUUUUGGAUAUUAAGCUGGUUGUUGGGAUAGUCUAUGAUCCUUUUCUUUUAGACCUUGGG
rnacentral:misc_RNA from 1 species